rnacentral:rRNA from 1 species
GCGGGCUGGACCUCUCGGGGUUACAGCCUUGCUGAAUUAUUCACCCUUGUCUUUUGCGUACUUCUUGUUUCCUUGGUGGGUUCGCCCACCACUAGGACAAACAUAAACCUUUUGUAAUUGCAAUCAGCGUCAGUAACAAAUUAAUAAUUACAACUUUCAACAACGGAUCUCUUGGUUCUGGCAUCGAUGAAGAACGCAGCGAAAUGCGAUAAGUAGUGUGAAUUGCAGAAUUCAGUGAAUCAUCGAAUCUUUGAACGCACAUUGCGCCCUUUGGUAUUCCAAAGGGCAUGCCUGUUCGAGCGUCAUUUGUACCCUCAAGCUUUGCUUGGUGUUGGGCGUCUUGUCUCUAGCUUUGCUGGAGACUCGCCUUAAAGUAAUUGGCAGCCGGCCUACUGGUUUCGGAGCGCAGCACAAGUCGCACUCUCUAUCAGCAAAGGUCUAGCAUCCAUUAAGCCUUUUUUUCAACUUUUGACCUCGGAUCAGGUAGGGAUACCCGCUGAACUUAAGCAUAUCA